ensembl:lncRNA
CUCAUCUGUUCAUUUGAGCUUAGCUCUGCUUUUAACUUACUCGAUUCUCUUCCCCUUCUCCUCAGAGAACCAGCUGGAAAGCCUGCCCGCAACUUGCUCGCUCACCUUCUUUGCCCACUCUCACCCCACAUGCUGGAACGCUUACCUGCCUCACACAGCCAAGUGCUGCCACCAUUAAUCCUGUGGAGAGAAGGAGAAAGUGUUUGGUCUGGAAACUGGGCAAUUUAGAAGUGGUUUCCAGAAGGAGCAGAUCGGAUUCUUUGUGAGCGGGAAAACAGAAUCUUGUACUUGUUGUAUACAGACUUAUAGGAAAGGACAGGGAGCUUUAGUCGGCCUUCCCGAGCAGCCGUGACUAAACUGGAAAAGAAACAGUGGAGGAAGACAAAAUGCUCCCUCCCACCUCCGUAACCCGCUGUUCAGCCGAAAGAGAUCCUGAGUCAUUAGUGGUUCGCCUCCAAUGAUAAUUCAGUUCAGUUCAGCCAGAUAAUUUUGAUUUAGAUGAAAGCAAUGAGCUGACAGAGGGCUCCUUUUUCCCCCCUGGUCUUGUAUGUGUUCAAAAGGAAAAGAAAGCAAAAGAAAUGAACCUCUAAGGUAGCUAUAGCAAUGCCCCAUUUCUUUUCUUUUUUUGGUCUUUUUUUUUGGUUCUCAUCAAGAAAAGUUCUCAAAUGAAGUUGUUGCUGUUUUCUCUGGCAACAUCUAGAUGAUGGUGAUGCAAAGGAUCGGGUAAUUGUUGGAGCCGUGUGGAGCUGCUGAUGACAAAGGAAAUGAAAAUACAGGAGUUGUUUUCACACUGUAGACUGUACAUAAAAGAUGGAUGCAACCACUCUAACAUCACCCAGUGGAUUCUGUCAGUAGUUGCUGAUUGCUUAAAAUCGGUUAACAGCAUUGCACUUUAUGGAUACAGAUUGUUAACUAAUCUUGCUAGUGUUAGCACUUCCACCGAGGACUGUAUAUUAAAGAUGGACAUACCCACUAUGACAUCACCUGUUGGUUUCUUGAAAGGCCCAGUGUCAGCAUUUUGGCUGUCAAAAGCCAGAAGUAACAAUGUAGAGGCUGAAAUGGUCCAUCAAUAAAUCCAAAAAUAUCUGCUAAUUAGCGCUAAAUAACAGAUAAAAACUGUAUAUUUAAUAAGACAGCAGUCGGAAUUUCCAAGUUCCCAGUCAGUCAGUUUAAUCUGAAAUAACCCAUCAACUCAAAUUUCCCUCUCAGAAAAUCAGACCAGCACCAG